rnacentral:rRNA from 1 species
AGACCCGAAACCCGGUGAUCUAGCCAUGGGCAGGUUGAAGGUUGGGUAACACUAACUGGAGGACCGAACCGACUAAUGUUGAAAAAUUAGCGGAUGACCUGUGGCUGGGGGUGAAAGGCCAAUCAAACCGGGAGAUAGCUGGUUCUCCCCGAAAGCUAUUUAGGUAGCGCCUCGUGAAUUCAUCUCCGGGGGUAGAGCACUGUUUCGGCUAGGGGGCCAUCCCGGCUUACCAACCCGAUGCAAACUGCGAAUACCGGAGAAUGUUAUCACGGGAGACACACGGCGGGUGCUAACGUCCGUCGUGAAGAGGGAAACAACCCAGACCGCCAGCUAAGGUCCCAAAGUCAUGGUUAAGUGGGAAACGAUGUGGGAAGGCCCAGACAGCCAGGAUGUUGGCUUAGAAGCAGCCAUCAUUUAAAGAAAGCGUAAUAGCUCACUGGUCGAGUCGGCCUGCGCGGAAGAUGUAACGGGGCUAAACCAUGCACCGAAGCUGCGGCAGCGACGCUUAUGCGUUGUUGGGUAGGGGAGCGUUCUGUAAGCCUGUGAAGGUGGCCUGUGAGGGUUGCUGGAGGUAUCAGAAGUGCGAAUGCUGACAUAAGUAACGAUAAAGCGGGUGAAAAGCCCGCUCGCCGGAAGACCAAGGGUUCCUGUCCAACGUUAAUCGGGGCAGGGUGAGUCGACCCCUAAGGCGAGGCCGAAAGGCGUAGUCGAUGGGAAACAGGUUAAUAUUCCUGUACUUGGUGUUACUGCGAAGGGGGGACGGAGAAGGCUAUGUUGGCCGGGCGACGGUUGUCCCGGUUUAAGCGUGUAGGUGUGUGUUCCAGGUAAAUCCGGUUCACUUUAACACUGAGGCGUGAUGACGAGGCACUACGGUGCUGAAGCAACAAAUGCCCUGCUUCCAGGAAAAGCCUCUAAGCAUCAGGUAACAUCAAAUCGUACCCCAAACCGACACAGGUGGUCAGGUAGAGAAUACCAAGGCGCUUGAGAGAACUCGGGUGAAGGAACUAGGCAAAAUGGUGCCGUAACUUCGGGAGAAGGCACGCUGACACGUAGGUGAAGUGAUUUACUCAUGGAGCUGAA